rnacentral:rRNA from 1 species
GAUGAACGCUGGCGGCGUGCCUAAUACAUGCGAGUCGAGCGAACGGACGAGGAGCUUGCUCCUCUGACGUUAGCGGCGGACGGGUGAGUAACACGUGGAUAACCUACCUAUAAGACUGGGAUAACUUCGGGAAACCGGAGCUAAUACCGGAUAAUAUAUUGAACCGCAUGGUUCAAUAGUGAAAGACGGUUUUGCUGUCACUUAUAGAUGGAUCCGCGCCGCAUUAGCUAGUUGGUAAGGUAACGGCUUACCAAGGCAACGAUGCGUAGCCGACCUGAGAGGGUGAUCGGCCACACUGGAACUGAGACACGGUCCAGACUCCUACGGGAGGCAGCAGUAGGGAAUCUUCCGCAAUGGGCGAAAGCUUGACGGAGCAACGCCGCGUGAGUGGUGAAGGUCUUCGGAUCGUAAAACUCUGUUAUUAGGGAAGAACAAAUGUGUAAGUAACUAUGCACGUCUUGACGGUACCUAAUCAGAAAGCCACGGCUAACUACGUG